rfam:Gasterosteus aculeatus cont1.013471, whole genome shotgun sequence.
UUUAAAGUGUAAUGUAAGUCGCUUUGGAUAAAAAGCGUCUGCUAAAUGACUUGUA